rnacentral:rRNA from 1 species
UGCGUCGAGCGGCGGACGGGUGAGUAAUGCAUAGGAAUCUACCCAGUCGUGGGGGAUAACCUGAGGAAACUCAGGCUAAUACCGCAUACGUCCUACGGGAGAAAGCGGGGGCUCUUCGGACCUCGCGCGAUUGGAUGAGCCUAUGUCGGAUUAGCUAGUUGGUCAGGUAACGGCUUACCAAGGCGACGAUCCGUAGCUGGUCUGAGAGGAUGAUCAGCCACACCGGGACUGAGACACGGCCCGGACUCCUACGGGAGGCAGCAGUGGGGAAUAUUGGACAAUGGGCGAAAGCCUGAUCCAGCCAUGCCGCGUGUGUGAAGAAGGCUUUCGGGUUGUAAAGCACUUUCAGCGAGGAAGAAAGCGUGCCGGCCAAUACCCGGUACGGACGACAUCACUCGCAGAAGAAGCACCGGCUAACUCCGUGCCAGCAGCCGCGGUAAUACGGAGGGUGCAAGCGUUAAUCGGAAUUACUGGGCGUAAAGCGCGCGUAGGCGGCGUGUCACGCCGGGUGUGAAAGCCCCGGGCUCAACCUGGGAACGGCAUCCGGAACGGGCAGGCUAGAGUGCAGGAGAGGAAGGUAGAAUUCNCGGUGUAGCGGUGAAAUGCGUAGAGAUCGGGAGGAAUACCAGUGGCGAAGGCGGCCUUCUGGACUGACACUGACGCUGAGGUGCGAAAGCGUGGGUAGCAAACAGGAUUAGAUACCCUGGUAGUCCACGCCGUAAACGAUGUCGACUAGCCGUUGGGUCCCUUGAGGACUUAGUGGCGCAGUUUAACGCGAUAAGUCGACCGCCUGGGGAGUACGGCCGCAAGGUUAAACUUCAAAUGAAUUGACGGGGGCCCGCACAAGCGGGGAGCAUGUGGUUUAA